AUAGAAGCUAGAUUAAGUGGAAAUAAACCAACUGACAUUUCGAUUUCUCAUAAAUGACAGUUGGCGGGCAACCGAAAUCCGAAAUUGUUCAACAAAACGCAUGAAACAGUUCUUAUUAAAUACACCCAUUAUAAUACAGCCAAAUUUUAAUUAUUUAUUUCCUUUCCAGUGUUCACCUUCAAAUAGUACUAAAACAAGAAUCAGGUGCUAUUUCGCAGUGACGCCAUGCCAUGAAUCACAGAAGAUCAAUUGCUUGUUCGAAGAUGAUGAACUUAGAAUUAUGUACUACCAAAACUGAAAUACAAGAUAUAUGAGGAAUAAUUAAUAGAGAACAUACAAAUAUUCGAAGAAAUGUGAUUUUGAAAUUGACAACAUUAGAUACUUGCGUAGCUUGUACAAUAUCAUUAAGCUUGCAGGACUUACCAUUGUAUGUGCAAAACCAAAGAUGCAGAAAUAAGCAUGUUAUAUACUUUUGUCUGGGUAUAAUCCUAUUUACACCUGAUGAAUCUCAUAAAAAUAUAUGUAUACAUUUUAUAUCUGUCCAAAACGUAAAGGAAGAUUUCGACAACAUCCAAAAAAGAACAACAGAAAAUUUAACUUACCGGUGAAUGAAAAUGACAGAAGACAACUGUUACUGGCUGAUUUUUUUCCUUUCUGCAGUAAGGUGGUUCCAGUCUUAAUUGAGCUGCCAGCGCUUGUCUCAGUUCUCUCCACCAUGAGUCUCUGGCUGCCUGAGUGCAAAAGGUAACCAAGUACGUUCUGGCUGGUGACGGCCAGCCCAGUAGGAACCCUGUUUCUGACUCCACGCACGGUGCUAUCCAUAUUUCUGAUACUCUAACGCUUUCCUACAAGAAGAGAGUUUCCUGUAGACCGUGGCUUGGCAACUAGUAACAGAUCGGAAAACAGGAAUAGGUGUCUCGGUUUGGCGUUCAUGGGCAUCUGAGAGGGCGACAUUGCGCAGGGUGCUUCCAUCAGAAAAAUCCUUUUGCAAGGUCCGCC